AGUGAACGCUGGCGGUAGGCCUAACACAUGCAAGUCGAACGGCAGCACAGAGGAGCUAGCUCCUUGGGUGGCGAGUGGCGGACGGGUGAGGAAUACAUCGGAAUCUACUCUGUCGUGGGGGAUAACGUAGGGAAACUUACGCUAAUACCGCAUACGACCUACGGGUGAAAGCAGGGGACCUUCGGGCCUUGCGCGAUUGAAUGAGCCGAUGUCGGAUUAGCUAGUUGGCGGGGUAAAGGCCCACCAAGGCGACGAUCCGUAGCUGGUCUGAGAGGAGGAUCAGCCACACUGGAACUGAGACACGGUCCAGACUCCUACGGGAGGCAGCAGUGGGGAAUAUUGGACAAUGGGCGCAAGCCUGAUCCAGCCAUACCGCGUGGGUGAAGAAGGCCUUCGGGUUGUAAAGCCCUUUUGUUGGGAAAGAAAUCCAGCUGGCUAAUACCCGGUUGGGAUGACGGUAUCCAAAGAAUAAGCACCGACUAACUUCGUGCCAGCAGCCGCCGUAA
rnacentral:rRNA from 1 species